AUGAAACUCAAAUCACAUACAUAUUAGUACUUAGCUGUACAUCUGUUUCUUAGAGUACUGCAUAUUUGUUGCAGCUUCAUGCAGUUUUAAAGACAAAAGGUAGUCAACAAUGCAUAACAGUUUUCUUAUGAUCACACCCUAUUACAUUAUAUAUAUAUCAGCUUAACGCUCGAUUGGAAUCUCAUUUCAACACUAAUCUGUGACUCAGUUGAGCCCUGAGAGAUGACAAGUUGAGAACUGGCCUGUUACGUGCUUUGUCCUUCUUAAUCUGGAUUAGCUGGUCAUAAACACACCAGGGAAAGCUAAUGAAAUGAGCUCUUUUCAACCCCUGAUUGUAGCAACCCCAGUAUGUAGGAUGAUAUGUAACGUGGUACCAAGCCGAAGCCUUUGGUAACAUGUCAUCUAUAUCAUUACGCCUCUUGAACCAGGCUCUUGCCUCCUUCCUCAAGGCCCUCACAGCAACACUAAUGGCCUCAGCAUCUUUUCUGCGGUCAAAAGUUUUUGAUGCCUUCAUAAUGCCACCACUAAGUAUUUCAGCCUCUGUUUUUAUGCCAUAGUAGUCCAUUAAAUUACCCAGCUUGUUGUCAUAUUCAGUUUUGUAGUCAAAAGCUUCGUCAAUGUAAUCUUCAAAUCCAUCAACUUCCAUAUCAGCAUCAUAUGAUCUCCUUGCAACAUCUCUUGUGAAGGUCGCGAUAGAGCUAGCCUGAGGUGCUUUGUCCUUCACUUUCCUGAAAAGCUUUCCAAUAACUCUUUCUGAGAUAUAGCUGGUCUUGUCCGGCUUAUCCAUGAAGUCUGGGUAUUCUUUAGGGCGCAACUGAGAUGGUAUUUCAGCGGGAACACCAGUCUUUGGAAAGUCCACUGCAAUUGAAAAGAGCUCAGCAAGUUUUUUGCAUGGAUCACUCAUGGCCAUAUCAGGUUCUCUGUCUGCAAAUACGACAUGGGCAUUUGCUAUGAUUCCCAAACUGUCAUUCACAAUAUAGUUGGUGAAGUACUCUUCAACUUCCUCAAUUGUGACAUCAUGGUCCAACUGUAUGCUGGGUGCUGGAGGAUAUUCCAUCGGCUGGACUUGCCUUGGCGGGAUCAUGUCUUGAUCCCAGCAAACAAAGUAGAUAUCCCCAUCCAAAUCACUCCCAGAACAUUCAUUCGGAUGAGGUCUUUUUCCUUUCUGAGGGAAUACAACACAAUCUACCAUGUGGUGCAGCGCUCGAACAUUUACAGCCUUUAAAACACGAAUAUCACCAGGAUGCAAGCAUGGAUUUUUUGCAACAACCACAUUUCCCUUCAGAAUGAAAUUACUGUUGGUGGAUCUGCUGUUAUUAAAUGGAUGUAAAUCGUCAGAAAACUCUCCAUGUCCAGCACCAGUAAACUGAACAAACACCUGACCAUAUUCCAAGGUUCUGGAUUCAUCCAAACAUCCCAUCAUUGUUCUUCCAUUUGGAAUAAAUAUUCUUGAUCUAGUCCGCAAAUCGAGCAACUUGGAUGCGCGGAAGGUUUGCAACAUCAUUGAAAGAAAGGGCUCAGCAUCAGGCUUAUAACCACAGUUUAGCAUUGCCUUGAGAAUAUUAGUGUUCUCUCCAGGAGACAUCAAUUCCAAAGCCUCCUGUGCCUUCAAAGAAUCAUGCAAGAUAGCAUCAAGCUGAUCUACAGCUUCCUUUUGCUUCUGUUCGAGAACUUCAUCUUUCACUCCAAGUGUAGACAAGAGAGUAAUCAGUUGACGAUUAAGAUAACAAGGCUGAUAUUUGCUCCAUCCAAGGACAUCUAACUUUAUGUUGUCUGAUUCAUAUUUCGACAUGCUCUUUCUCAAAGACAACUUCAUUGAUGAAUCCGGAUCAACACCCACAACACCUUUAUAUCCACCAUAACGAAUCUGGAAAGCAGAUGGGGUAUAUUGAAGGCCACAUUUUGAGGCAACUCUAUGAGCAAAGUCACCAGAUAUUUUACCAAUUCCAUCAGAAAAGACAUAGCUGGUUCCAUGAACCUUUACAUCGGGAAUAACUUCAAUCUCAUGCCUAAGAACACUCAAAGUCUCUCUGGAGGAACCAAAAGAUUGACCAAGUCUGGCAGCAUAUUUUGCGACAUUCUUGAUCUGCGAAAAAUCACCCAUCCAAGCUCUUAUAUCAUUUGCAGUAAGGCCAGGUCUUGAUGCAAACAUCCACACUGAAUUAUCCCGCAACUGGCUCGAUGAAAAUGCAAGAAAUUCAAAUUUUUUAUCACCAAUUACAAAGCCUUUCCGCAGAGUUGAUAAGAUCCUCUCAUAGAUGUUUGUCCUGACACCACUUCCAGUACUUGCUUUUGGUAAUAAGUCUGUAGAAUACAGUUUCUCCCACUCCUCAUCAACAAAAGAAACACGAAGAAAGUUAUCUAUGUCUUCAGAAUAAUUGCGGAGAACCCGAUUGGAAACAUUAACCUCUGGACCACAAAAA
rnacentral:misc_RNA from 1 species